GACGAACGCUGGCGGCGUGCUUAACACAUGCAAGUCGAACGAUGAACUUGGAGCUUGCUCUGGGGGAUUAGUGGCGAACGGGUGAGUAACACGUGAGUAACCUGCCCUGGAAUCUGGGAUAACUCCGAGAAAUCGGAGCUAAUACCGGAUAGGACCUUGCACCGCAUGGUGUGGGGUGGAAAGUUAUUCGGUUUGGGAUGGGCUCGCGGCCUAUCGGCUUGUUGGUGAGGUAAUGGCGCACCAAGGCGUCGCCGGGUAGCCGGCCUGAGAGGGUGACCGGCCACACUGGGACUGAGACACGGCCCAGACUCCUACGGGAGGCAGCAGUGGGGAAGAUUGCACAAUGGGCGCAAGCCUGAUGCAGCGACGCCGCGUGCGGGAUGACGGCCUUCGGGUUGUAAACCGCUUUUAGUAGGGAAGAAGCCUUCGGGUGACGGUACCUGCAGAAAAAGGACCGGCUAACUACGUGCCAGCAGCCGCGGUAACAC
rnacentral:rRNA from 1 species